GUGGAGGGCCCUGAAAUGUAGGGCGGUGAAGGGACCGUCCAGAGUUGCCACCCUGAUGAGGGAUGGAUCUGGGACAGGAAUGUCGUCGUUUCCCUGUGGCUGGAGAUUCCCCAGCCCCUGACACCAACCCACGGCCCCUGAGAAAAGGUCCUGAAGCCCUGAACCAGGAGCUGCCCUCACAGUCUCAAAUCCCUCUGUGCCAGUGUUUCUGUAGGGGAGAGCGAGUGCCACGAGACCAGACUCAGUCCUCCCUCCUCUCUGUGUUUGGGGCCCUGACAUCAACUAUGUGGUGGUUUCUGCCCCAUGGGGCCCUAGUGAAGGACCGGGAACGUGUGGCACGGGCCACGUUCCCUCACCUCUCUGCAAGGUCAGCACGAGGAACCAUAUGUCCUCUG